GCCAAACUGUAAAUCUAAAUUACACACAAAACGCCAGGGUAUUACGAGCCUCAGCUUAAAACCCAAAGGACUUGACGGUGUCUCAUCCAACUAGAGGAGCCUGUUCUAUAAUCGAUACCACACGAUAUAUCCAACCAUUUUUUGCAAAUCAGUUUGUAUACCUCCGUCGUAAGCUUACCAUAUGAAUGAAACAGAGUGGGCCAAAGGACUCCGCGCCAAAACGUCAGGUCAAGGUGCAGCUUAUAAAAUGGAAGAAAUGGGCUACAAUUUCUAUAUUAGAACAAACGAAUUACCUAAUGAAACAAGGUCAUGAAGGUGGAUUUAGUAGUAAGUAAUGAAUAAUGAGCCUUACUUAAUUUGGCCAUGAGACG
rnacentral:rRNA from 1 species